AUUGAACGCUGGCGGCAUGCCUUACACAUGCAAGUCGAACGGCAGCACGGGAGCAAUCCUGGUGGCGAGUGGCGAACGGGUGAGUAAUAUAUCGGAACGUGCCCAGUCGUGGGGGAUAACGUAGCGAAAGCUACGCUAAUACCGCAUACGAUCUAUGGAUGAAAGCGGGGGAUCGCAAGACCUCGCGCGAUUGGAGCGGCCGAUAUCAGAUUAGGUAGUUGGUGAGGUAAAGGCUCACCAAGCCGACGAUCUGUAGCUGGUCUGAGAGGACGACCAGCCACACUGGGACUGAGACACGGCCCAGACUCCUACGGAGGCAGCAGUGGGGAAUUUUUGGACAAUGGGCGCAAGCCUGAUCCAGCAAUGCCGCGUGCAGGAUGAAGGCCUUCGGUUGUAAC
rnacentral:rRNA from 1 species